rnacentral:rRNA from 1 species
GAAAGGUGAAAAGCUCCCCCGAGAGGGAAGUGAAAUAGUACCUGAAACCGUGUGCCUACGAUCAGUGGGAGCCGCAAGGUGACCGCGUACCUUUUGCAUAAUGAGUCAGCGAGUUGUCCGUCGUGGCAAGGUUAAGCCGUUAGGUGUAGCCGCAGGGAAACCGAGUCUGAACAGGGCGUUCAGUCGCGGCGGACAGACCCGAACCCAGGUGAGCUACCCAUGGCCAGGGUGAAACGUUGGUAAAACUUCGUGGAGGCCCGAACCCACCGACGUUGAAAAGUCGGGGAUGAGCUGUGGGUAGGAGUGAAAGGCUAACCAAACCUGGAAAUAGCUGGUUCUCCCCGAAAUGUAUUGAGGUACAGCCUCGAAUGAAUACCUUCGGAGGUAAAGCACUGAAUGGGCUAGGGGUCUACCAAGGCUGCCAAACCCAAUCAAACUCUGAAUUCCGAUGAGUACUGUUCGGGAGUGAGACGGCGGGAGAUAAGUUUCGUCGUCAAAAAGGGAAGAGCCCAGACUGCCAGCUAAGGUCCCUAAAUGUGUGCUAAGUGGUCAAGGAU